rnacentral:rRNA from 1 species
UACGAAGGGGGCUAGCGUUGCUCGGAAUUACUGGGCGUAAAGCGCACGUAGGCGGCUUUCUAAGUCGGGGGUGAAAUCCUGGAGCUCAACUCCAGAACUGCCUUCGAUACUGGAGAGCUUGAGUCCGGGAGAGGUGAGUGGAACUGCGAGUGUAGAGGUGAAAUUCGUAGAUAUUCGCAAGAACACCAGUGGCGAAGGCGGCUAUCUGGACGGUUUCUGACGCUAAGACGCGAAAGCGUGGGGAGCAAACAGG